UUUCGUGAGCAUUCACUUAGACCACAGGUUACUACAAUUAAAUGGAAUAAGCAGAAUCAUUUCACAGAUCACACAAGCGAGUAGCGACUAGCGACACCGAAUAGCCCAGUUGCAACUUGCAAUAUGUCGGAUAAGGAAGAGCGUAUGCUUGUAAUGCCCAAGGAUGCAAAACCAGCCGAGGUUCGACAAUUAUACGACGAUUUUGCUGCAACAUAUGAUGAGGAAAUUCUUCCUGAGUCAACGUACCCCGCGUUACUUAGCGUCGUUGAUACGUUCAUGGAGGUCCUUGGCAACAGUGAUAAAAACAUACGAAUUAUUGACCUGGGAGCUGGUACUGGUCUUGCUGCCGUCGAGCUGAAGAAACAUGGCUUCGCCAAUAUCGAUGGCCUAGAUUUGUGUGAAGAAAUGCUGAAGAAAGCUAAAGAAAAAGACGCUUAUCGUAAAUAUAUCUGUGAAGCUGUGACAGAGAAACGACUGGACAUACCUACAGGAGCGUAUGAUGUUGCUUUAAGUGUUGGAGCUGUGACCUCUGGUUAUAUUAAAGCGAGUGCCUUUGAUGAAAUUCUGCGUUUGACAAAGCCAGGAGGGUUCAUUAUCUUCACUAUACGAAAGGGCCCUAUGGACGACGAUAAAUAUGGGUUUUCGGCGAAAUUUCAGCAGUUUAUUAAGGAAGGGAAGUGGCAGGAAGUAAAAAAAUAUCUCACGGAUUACGUGAGAUAUGACCAUUUAGAUUUGAACCAAUGCUACGUAGCAAUAUACAAAGUAUUGAAGAAUGAAUAAAUAAAAUGUACUGAAUGGGAAUGGUAAAUUGACGCAUUUGAAGACUAUAGAUUCUGGGCUAGCGCAGUCAAUAACAAUUCUCGACCGUCUAACGCGCGCGUACACUUCUCGGUAUUCCUUUUUUCAGUUUGGCUUGCCAUAAUUUUCCUCACGAAAAUUCUAAUUGACUUGAUUACAUUACGUCAUAAUAAGACCCCUAAUUAACUUUCAUUUCUCGCGUUAAAGAGGAAAGUUACAAACUAUUUGUGGAUAGAAAAGCGAUUACUAAAGUUGAAAAAAUAUUUGUUAUCAUGGGUCACCUUAAGAACAUUUGUGUUGGAACCAUUGCGCUUGUUGGUUCAGCAUUUUUGGGGUAUUACUUAUACAAGAAUUACUUUAAAUCGAAAGAGAACACUGAUGACGCAGAGUGUUCAACAAACACUGAGUCAAAUUCGCCCCAGGCAGAGGAUGUGAACGAGUCACUUGUCCGAAUUUCUGCUGGAAAGAAAGUCAACGGCAACGAAGCUGGAGCCAGCAAUACCAGUUCGAGGCAAUCUGGAUCAAGGGCGAACGGCAAAAAAAUAUCGAAAAAAUCUAAAACAGGCUAUAUGGGACUCCGCAAAGGAUUCUUGCUCAAAUAAAUUAGAUUACAGAGUAAACAGCAGAAAUUGCAACGACGCCUGGACCAAGAAAACCUGACUUUGUCGAUAAUUAUGAUCGAUUAAUCGAUGUACAGAUCGCACGAUACAAGUCGCAGAUCGAUGGACACAGCGGCUUUGGCUCGAAAAUAACAUUACGGAAAUUAGUGGAUCCUUAGCGCCCCUCGUCGGCAUUGAAAACACCAUGUGAUGCGUUCAAAAUGUACCACGUGGUUGAAACUUUUCGGUCAAGAAGUGGGCUCAGAACGCUCGCUUGCUGCUCUAUAUAUUCAUUGGUGUUUUGCAGUACUAGAUAUAAAAUCCAAAAGCCUACAAGUCCAUAUCCAAUGGGGAAGGCCAAGGACAAGUGCAUGACAAUUCUCAAGACAUAUUGCCAAGCACUAUGAUCAUGAUGGAGAUCAUGCAAUCUCAGUUGUGUCAAGCUGCUGUAGAAGCACGAAGUGAAAGCAGAGAACUUCUUCCUAGCAGCAGCAAUGAAAUGCGACAAGUGGCAAGCCCAUCAAUCAAAUCAAUAAAUACGAACCAAGGCCCUGAACUGAUUAAAUAUCCUGACGAUAUACUACCAUAGAAAAUGCAAUUAUACACCUUGAAACAUUAUGCUGAUUGUGAAAUGGUUGGUAAAAUUGAUCGCCUCAAGAGUGUAAAAUGCAAGAAAAAGAAGAUGAAAUAUUUGAAAGGAUAAACGAGCUUUGGGAACUUGUUGGGCAUAAAUUGGCACUGCCAAAUGCUGAUUUGUUUUUGCAUUCAAUCAGAAAGAUGAUUUAAUGGUGUAGAAUUUUUAUAAGAGAAUAUAGAAUGGAUUAUGCGAAAGAAAGACAGGGUUAGAAAAUCAGGAGCAACAGCAACGCAGAGUAUCUGUAAUCUUUAAUGAGCUAGCUAAUGUUGAUUAAUCCACGCGUUUUAUAGUAGUCACAGUACUAAACAAAAUACGGAAAAAUAUGUAAAGUGAAGAAAAUAAAUAAGUGAUAUGUUGUUUUAAAGGAUGCUUUAAAAACAUGUAGACUGUUGAGGUAAAGCAUAUGAAUAACAAUUAAACAAGAGUGCAACUUACAUGCAAAAGGAAUCGAAAACAAAAGCCCAAGCCAUUUCUAAUGACUAAUAUAUAU
rnacentral:misc_RNA from 1 species